AGGUCAAGCGAGAGAUGGCAUGUGGGGGAUGCCUGGGCACAGAGAGGCGAUGAAGGCCGUGGUAAGCUGC
rnacentral:rRNA from 1 species